rnacentral:rRNA from 1 species
GGUUAAGCGACUAAGCGUACACGGUGGAUGCCCUGGCAGUCAGAGGCGAUGAAGGACGUGCUAAUCUGCGAUAAGCGUCGGUAAGGUGAUAUGAACCGUUAUAACCGGCGAUUUCCGAAUGGGGAAACCCAGUGUGUUUCGACACACUAUCAUUAACUGAAUCCAUAGGUUAAUGAGGCGAACCGGGGGAACUGAAACAUCUAAGUACCCCGAGGAAAAGAAAUCAACCGAGAUUCCCCCAGUAGCGGCGAGCGAACGGGGAGCAGCCCAGAGCCUGAAUCAGUGUGUGUGUUAGUGGAAGCGUCUGGAAAGGCGCGCGAUACAGGGUGACAGCCCCGUACACAAAAAUGCACAUGCUGUGAGCUCGAUGAGUAGGGCGGGACACGUGGUAUCCUGUCUGAAUAUGGGGGGACCAUCCUCCAAGGCUAAAUACUCCUGACUGACCGAUAGUGAACCAGUACCGUGAGGGAAAGGCGAAAAGAACCCCGGCGAGGGGAGUGAAAAAGAACCUGAAACCGUGUACGUACAAGCAGUGGGAGCACGCUUAGGCGUGUGACUGCGUACCUUUUGUAUAAUGGGUCAGCGACUUAUAUUCUGUAGCAAGGUUAACCGAAUAGGGGAGCCGAAGGGAAACCGAGUCUUAACUGGGCGUUAAGUUGCAGGGUAUAGACCCGAAACCCGGUGAUCUAGCCAUGGGCAGGUUGAAGGUUGGGUAACACUAACUGGAGGACCGAACCGACUAAUGUUGAAAAAUUAGCGGAUGACUUGUGGCUGGGGGUGAAAGGCCAAUCAAACCGGGAGAUAGCUGGUUCUCCCCGAAAGCUAUUUAGGUAGCGCCUCGUGAAUUCAUCUCCGGGGUAGAGCACUGUUUCGGCAAGGGGGUCAUCCCGACUUACCAACCCGAUGCAAACUGCGAAUACCGGAGAAUGUUAUCACGGGAGACACACGGCGGGUGCUAACGUCCGUCGUGAAGAGGGAAACAACCCAGACCGCCAGCUAAGGUCCCAAAGUCAUGGUUAAGUGGGAAACGAUGUGGGAAGGCCCAGACAGCCAGGAUGUUGGCUUAGAAGCAGCCAUCAUUUAAAGAAAGCGUAAUAGCUCACUGGUCGAGUCGGCCUGCGCGGAAGAUGUAACGGGGCUAAACCAUGCACCGAAGCUGCGGCAGCGACGCUGAUGCGUUGUUGGGUAGGGGAGCGUUCUGUAAGCCUGUGAAGGUGUGCUGUGAGGCAUGCUGGAGGUAUCAGAAGUGCGAAUGCUGACAUAAGUAACGAUAAAGCGGGUGAAAAGCCCGCUCGCCGGAAGACCAAGGGUUCCUGUCCAACGUUAAUCGGGGCAGGGUGAGUCGACCCCUAAGGCGAGGCCGAAAGGCGUAGUCGAUGGGAAACAGGUUAAUAUUCCUGUACUUGGUGUUACUGCGAAGGGGGACGGAGAAGGCUAUGUUGGCCGGGCGACGGUUGUCCCGGUUUAAGCGUGUAGGCUGGUUUUCCAGGCAAAUCCGGAAAAUCAAGGCUGAGGCGUGAUGACGAGGCACUACGGUGCUGAAGCAACAAAUGCCCUGCUUCCAGGAAAAGCCUCUAAGCAUCAGGUAACAUCAAAUCGUACCCCAAACCGACACAGGUGGUCAGGUAGAGAAUACCAAGGCGCUUGAGAGAACUCGGGUGAAGGAACUAGGCAAAAUGGUGCCGUAACUUCGGGAGAAGGCACGCUGAUAUGUAGGUGAGGUCCCUCGCGGAUGGAGCUGAAAUCAGUCGAAGAUACCAGCUGGCUGCAACUGUUUAUUAAAAACACAGCACUGUGCAAACACGAAAGUGGACGUAUACGGUGUGACGCCUGCCCGGUGCCGGAAGGUUAAUUGAUGGGGUUAGCGCAAGCGAAGCUCUUGAUCGAAGCCCCGGUAAACGGCGGCCGUAACUAUAACGGUCCUAAGGUAGCGAAAUUCCUUGUCGGGUAAGUUCCGACCUGCACGAAUGGCGUAAUGAUGGCCAGGCUGUCUCCACCCGAGACUCAGUGAAAUUGAACUCGCUGUGAAGAUGCAGUGUACCCGCGGCAAGACGGAAAGACCCCGUGAACCUUUACUAUAGCUUGACACUGAACAUUGAGCCUUGAUGUGUAGGAUAGGUGGGAGGCUUAGAAGUGUGGACGCCAGUCUGCAUGGAGCCGACCUUGAAAUACCACCCUUUAAUGUUUGAUGUUCUAACGUUGACCCGUAAUCCGGGUUGCGGACAGUGUCUGGUGGGUAGUUUGACUGGGGCGGUCUCCUCCUAAAGAGUAACGGAGGAGCACGAAGGUUGGCUAAUCCUGGUCGGACAUCAGGAGGUUAGUGCAAUGGCAUAAGCCAGCUUGACUGCGAGCGUGACGGCGCGAGCAGGUGCGAAAGCAGGUCAUAGUGAUCCGGUGGUUCUGAAUGGAAGGGCCAUCGCUCAACGGAUAAAAGGUACUCCGGGGAUAACAGGCUGAUACCGCCCAAGAGUUCAUAUCGACGGCGGUGUUUGGCACCUCGAUGUCGGCUCAUCACAUCCUGGGGCUGAAGUAGGUCCCAAGGGUAUGGCUGUUCGCCAUUUAAAGUGGUACGCGAGCUGGGUUUAGAACGUCGUGAGACAGUUCGGUCCCUAUCUGCCGUGGGCGCUGGAGAACUGAGGGGGGCUGCUCCUAGUACGAGAGGACCGGAGUGGACGCAUCACUGGUGUUCGGGUUGUCAUGCCAAUGGCACUGCCCGGUAGCUAAAUGCGGAAGAGAUAAGUGCUGAAAGCAUCUAAGCACGAAACUUGCCCCGAGAUGAGUUCUCCCUGACCCUUUAAGGGUCCUGAAGGAACGUUGAAGACGACGACGUUGAUAGGCCGGGUGUGUAAGCGCAGCGAUGCGUUGAGCUAACCGGUACUAAUGAACCGUGAGGCUUAACCUU